AUUGAACGCUGGCGGCAUGCUUUACACAUGCAAGUCGAACGGCAGCACGGGCUUCGGCCUGGUGGCGAGUGGCGAACGGGUGAGUAAUAUAUCGGAACGUACCCAGAAGUGGGGGAUAACGUAGCGAAAGUUACGCUAAUACCGCAUACGAUCUAUGGAUGAAAGCAGGGGACCGCAAGGCCUUGUGCUCCUGUAGCGGCCGAUAUCUGAUUAGCUAGUUGGUGAGGUAAAGGCUCACCAAGGCGACGAUCAGUAGCUGGUCUGAGAGGACGACCAGCCACACUGGAACUGAGACACGGUCCAGACUCCUACGGGAGGCAGCAGUGGGGAAUGUUGGACAAUGGGCGCAAGCCUGAUCCAGCAAUGCCGCGUGAGUGAAGAAGGCCUUCGGGUUGUAAAGCUCUUUUGUCAGGGAAGAAACGGUAGAGGCUAAUAUCCUGUGAUAAUGACGGUACCUGAAGAAUAAGCACCGGCUAACUACGUG
rnacentral:rRNA from 1 species